UCCCGUCCAAAUUUAAACGAAUUUUUUUGAGUUUGAAUGGUAGAGAAUCAUAAUGAUUGUAGAUAAAUACAGUAUAUAUUGACCAAGCUACUGGUUCUCUCACUUUCUUUUAUAUAGGCGACAUUCAUAGACUGUAAAGAUGAAUCUACUGACGCACAACAUAUUGACAUCUCACGUAAAAGAGGUAACCAAAGGAUACCCCCCUCGUAAAGGCGACGGAGGUGAGUGAGUGAGGUGGAGUUCAAUCCCAAUUUCGUGAAUCGAAUGAUCCCCAAAUUGGAUUGGAGCGCACUGGUUCAGGCGGCUGAUGGGCUGGGUCAUCUUCAGGGCUCACCUGCAGAGCUGGUUACGGACUAUGAGAAGAAUGAAGACUUCCUGCAUAAAGUACACAGGGUUCUGCUGAAGGUUAUGUUCACCAUAAAUAACCUGAUAGUAAUGAAUUGUUCUUCAUUACUUGAGUCAUAGUUCUAUCAACUCCUAUUUUGGUGGAGGUGCAGGAGGGGUGUCUGGAGUGCCCAGAGUCUGGCCGUGAGUUCCCCAUCUCCCAAGGGGCCCCCAACAUGCUGCUGGAUGAGGACGAGGCAUGGAGGAGGGGGGUUGGGGGUUCGUUACCCCCAACAUGGGCUCUUAGAUGUACAGAGAGAAAUACACCACUUAUCCAUACAGUAACCCCCCAUUCGCCCUUCUCCACCAUCUCACACCAACCGUUCAUUGUAUGGGACUGCUUGCUGUUUAAGACUGUAUAGGAAGAAAUACACUGUUGAAUUGGUUAUAUAGUACAGUACAUGGGGCAAUGGGAUGUGAACACACUGCUGCCCCCAGAAAACCACAGAACGGGUCUGAAUGCUUCUACGUUGUCCAAUAUCUGGGAGCUAAUUUUGUUUUAUUUAUUUUUUGCAAUAAAAGUAACAUUCCUUGGUUUCCUUGCUACCCUAAAAUACUUUCCCUUGUAAUUAAGUUACACAGAUAAAUAAAUACCGUUACAGACCUCAACUACAGGCAAGUUAAAAA